ACAAUAAAUCACAAUGCGGGACUAUUCGUCUUGCAAUUGGAUUGAGAACAAUGUACAACUCUUAUCGAUAAGCCAUUGGAGGGCAAGUCUGGUGCCAGCAGCCGCGGUAAUUCCAGCUCCAAUAGCGUAUAUUAACGUUGUUGCAGUUAAAAAGCUCGUAGUUGAAGUGUGGGUGGUGCCUACUUCAUGACUUCGGUUGUGAGGUUGAUCACCACCCCCUUCCAGUAUCCAGUAGUGGGUAUUCAGUUACUUACUAUUGUGUGUUGGUCGUUUACUGUGAGAAAAUUAGAGUGUUCAAAGCAGGCGUUUGCUUGAAUAGAUUAGCAUGGAAUAAUAAUUGAAGGCUUUCGUGUUCGAUUUGAUUGGUUUGUUCAUGGAAGCAAGGUUAAAAGGAACAGUUGGGGGUAUUCAUAUUCACUAGUUAGAGGUGAAAUUCUCGGAUUUAUGGAAGAUGAACAA
rnacentral:rRNA from 1 species